rnacentral:rRNA from 1 species
GACGAACGCUGGCGGCGUGCUUAACACAUGCAAGUCGAGCGGAAAGGCCCUUCGGGGUACUCGAGCGGCGAACGGGUGAGUAACACGUUAGUAACCUGCCCCAGACUUUGGGAUAACCCUCGGAAACGGGGGCUAAUACCGGAUACGACACAGCUUCGCAUGGGGUCUGUGUGGAAAGUUUUUCGGUUUGGGAUGGGCUCGCGGCCUAUCAGCUUGUUGGUGGGGUGAUGGCCUACCAAGGCGACGACGGGUAGCCGGCCUGAGAGGGCGACCGGCCACACUGGGACUGAGACACGGCCCAGACUCCUACGGGAGGCAGCAGUGGGGAAUAUUGCACAAUGGGCGGAAGCCUGAUGCAGCGACGCCGCGUGAGGGAUGACGGCCUUCGGGUUGUAAACCUCUUUCAGCAGGGACGAAGCGUAAGUGACGGUACCUGCAGAAGAAGCGCCGGCCAACUACGUG